UACAGAGGGGGCAAGCGUUGUUCGGAAUUACUGGGCGUAAAGGGCGCGUAGGCGGCCUGUUAAGUCGAACGUGAAAUCCCCGGGCUCAACCCGGGAACUGCGUCCGAAACUGGCAGGCUCGAAUUCGGGAGAGGGAUGCGGAAUUCCAGGUGUAGCGGUGAAAUGCGUAGAUAUCGAGAGGAACACCUGCGGCGAAGGCGGGUUGCUGGGCUGAUACUGACGCUGAGGCGCGAAAGCCAGGGGAGCGAACGGG
rnacentral:rRNA from 1 species